rnacentral:rRNA from 1 species
CUCGUAGGCGGUUCAGUAAGUCGGGUGUGAAAACUUUGGGCUUAACCCAAAGCGUGCAUCCGAUACUGCUGUGACUUGAGUACGGUAGGGGAGCGGGGAAUUCCUAGUGUAGCGGUGAAAUGCGCAGAUAUUAGGAGGAACACCGGUGGCGAAGGCGCCGCUCUGGGCCGAAACUGACGCUGAGGAGCGAAAGCAUGGGUAGCAAACAGGAUUAGAUACCCUGGUAGUCCAUGCCGUAAACGUUGGGCACUAGGUGUGGGUUCCAACCAACGGAAUCCGCGCCGUCGCUAACGCAUUAAGUGCCCCGCCUGGGGAGUACGGCCGCAAGGUUAAA